AACGAACGCUGGCGGCAUGCCUAACACAUGCAAGUCGAACGAGACCUUCGGGUCUAGUGGCGCACGGGUGCGUAACGCGUGGGAACCUGCCCUUAGGUUCGGAAUAACUCCCCGAAAGGGGUGCUAAUACCGGAUAAUGUCUUCGGACCAAAGAUUUAUCGCCUUUGGAUGGGCCCGCGUUGGAUUAGCUAGUUGGUAGGGUAAAAGCCUACCAAGGCGACGAUCCAUAGCUGGUCUGAGAGGAUGAUCAGCCACACUGGGACUGAGACACGGCCCAGACUCCUACGGGAGGCAGCAGUGGGAAAUAUUGGACAAUGGGCGAAAGCCUGAUCCAGCAAUGCCGCGUGAGUGAUGAAGGCCUUAGGGUUGUAAAGCUCUUUUACCCGGGAUGAUAAUGACAGUACCGGGAGAAUAAGCACCGGCUAACUCCGCG
rnacentral:rRNA from 1 species